CUCUGCACACCUCCACACAGCACCUGGGAGAAACAUCAUUUUAAGUUCAUGAAGGGAGCAGAAUCUUGGAAGUCUCAAGAAAAAAAACUCUAGAAAGAUGCAUCGAUUCCAGAAAACCAGGAAAAUGCUGAACUGGUUUCUCCCCAGUAAUCCAGACUCCACUUCACAGAGCCAAGAGUUUGAGUACAACUUGGUGUAGGGGAUAAAGCAUGUUUUAGAGACAUGUUCCUGAAGACCAUUGUUCAAA